AAAAAGGACCUUCUCAGGUCCACAGAUGACUAUUAUUUCAGUAAAC
rfam:Ophiophagus hannah scaffold112.1, whole genome shotgun sequence.